rnacentral:rRNA from 1 species
CUACGGGGGGCUGCAGUGAGGAAUAUUGCACAAUGGGGGGAACCCUGAUGCAGCAACGCCGCGUGGAGGAUGACGCAUUUCGGUGUGUAAACUCCUUUUAUAUGUCAAGAAAAUGACGGUAGCAUAUGAAUAAGCACCGGCUAACUCCGUGCCAGCAGCCGCGGUAAUACGGAGGGUGCAAGCGUUACUCGGAAUCACUGGGCGUAAAGGAGGCGUAGGCGGGUUGGAAAGUCAGGUGUGAAAUCCUACAGCUUAACUGUAGAACUGCACUUGAAACUUCUAAUCUAGAGUAUGGGAGGGGGAGAUGGAAUUAGUGGUGUAGGGGUAAAAUCCGUAGAAAUCACUAGGAAUACCUAAAGCGAAGGCGAUCUCCUGGAACAUUACUGACGCUAAGGCGUGAAAGCGUGGGGAGCAAACAGGAUUAGAUACCCUCGUAGUC